AACCAUUCUCACCUGCGGCUAGACCUGCGGAGGGAUCAUUACCGAGUUAGGGUAGUUAUUCACUGCCCGACCUCCCAACCCUGUGUCUACCACACCUUGUCGUUGCUUCGGCGGACCGGUCGACCAACUGUCGUGACCGCCGGGGGCUGGCUCUGUCCCCCCUGGAGAGCGUCCGCCGAUGGCCCAACCACAAACUCUUGUACCGAAACGUGUCGUCUGAAUAAUUGAGAAAUCAAAUAU
rnacentral:misc_RNA from 1 species